AGCUAAUAAAUCAUGGAAUGAGUUUAUCUCUAGUGGAGAAAGUGAAGACAGAGAUUCAAGACUUCUUCAACCUCCCAGUGGAAGAGAAGAAAAAGUACUGGCAGAAUCCAGGAGAAGUAGAAGGAUUUGGGCAAGCCUUCGUUGUAUCAGAUGAGCAAAAGCUUGAUUGGGGUGACAUGUUCUUCUUGACCACUGUAGAUACUAGANNNNNNNNNNNNNNNNNNNNNNNNNNNNNNNNNNNNNNNNNNNNNNNNNNNNNNNNNNNNNNNNNNNNNNNNNNNNNNNNNNNNNNNNNNNNNNNNNNNNAACUUAUUCUCUUGUACCUAUGCUUGUACACCUCUUUUAUAUUACCUUUACUUGAAAACAAGACUUACUACAUCCAAUUAUAGUAACGGUUACUUAUAUUAAUAUUCUUCAUAAUAAUAUCAUUCAUUAGGCGCAUUAAAGCCUAUUCUUAUGUAACCGUCACUUUUAGCACUAUAUAUAGAGCCUCACAAUUCAUUUGGGGAGACUCUUUUUUGGCCCCUCCUAACACAUUCUCAACUUGAGAGCUUCUCUCUCUAAUUAUCUUGUACUCUCUAAGUCUCUUUAAUUCUUUUCUUAUUGUCUUCCACCUGUCACAGCACUUAGUACUUCAGGAACUGCUUCAAUCUUCCUCUCUGCCUCCUCUGGCACAUCCUUUUACUUGUUUGCAACACUUCCUCUCCCUAUCACAAGAACCCCCUUUACAACCACCCUCCCUGUCUAUUCCAGGAAGCCCCACUUAUUUCCCAAGCUACCUCUUCCUUUCAGGUCCUUUUUUUCUCUCUCUCAAUGUGCCUAAGCAUUUGCAAUUUCGAUUAUUUCUAACUCAAACUUAGUUUCUUAUGUUUAGAGAAACAUUGAAUCAAUACUCUUUGGAGUUGGAAAAAUUAGCCAUGGCUAUCCUACUACAAAUAGCAAAAGCUAUUAAUAUGAACAUUGAGGAAAUGAGAGAGCUCUUUGAAGGUGGAUUACAGGCAAUAAGAAUGAACUAUUAUCCUCCAUGUGAUGAACCAGAGCAGGUAAUUGGCAUUACUCCUCAUUCUGAUGCCUCGGCUCUCACCAUCCUGCUUCAGGUCAAUGACGUAGAAGGUCUCCAGGUAAAGAAAGAUGGGAAAUGGGUUCCUGUCAAGCCCCUCCCCAAUGCUUUCAUUGUCAACAUCGGAGACAUUUUAGAGGUAAAAUACUUCAGACUUUUUCAAAUCAGAGACCUGUAUUAAAAGUAGUUCGUGAAUAAAGCUUUAGUGAAUUGUUAUACAUAUGACAGAUUAUUACCAAUGGAGUCUACCGUAGCAUUGAGCAUCGAGCAACAGUGAAUUCUGAAAAAGAAAGACUCUCGAUUGCCGCAUUCUGCAGCCCCAACUAUAAUGGCGAAAUAGGGCCUGCACCAAGCUUGAUCUCUGGAGGAAAACAGGCAUUGUUUAGGAGAGUUUGAGUAGAAGAAUAUUUCAAAGCCCUAUUUGCUCGUCAGCUUCAUGAAAAAUCUCAUCUUGAUUCAAUGAGAAUAUAGCAUUUUGGAUGUCAAAUGCUGUCCCUUUGGAUUAUAUAUAUAUAUAUAUAUAUAUAUANUCAUAUGUUUCAUGUGGGUUGCUAUAUGCUAGAACUGCCAAACCCUACAUCCGGAAUGUGGGUCCUCAUCCGACGGCUGUGAUUAUUUAUUCGGUAUAUAUAUAUAUAUAUAUAUAUAUAUAUAGUGCUUUGAUAAAACAUAUGCCUUGGCCUUGCACAACUAGAAUAAGUCCCUCCUUAGUUUGCUGAUGGGCCUAUAAAUGCAAUAGCUGCAAUUCAUGUGCAAGAUAGUCGUUUUAAUAAUGAAUUUUAGAUAGCGUUUAGUACUUUAUAAUGUAAUGUAAUUAUUGGUAAUAUGAUUGUAAGGAAAAUAAUAUUAUAGUAUUUAGUAUACAAGCAAAAUAAUGAUUAAAAUACAGGGAAGAUAACAUUACAGCGUUUGGUUUAUAAGUACUUUGCUGGAAAUGUAAUGUUAAUUUUCAAAAUUAUUCCUAUUUAUUAAAAUGCAAGUUUAAUAUACUUAUAUUUUUUAUUGUUAAUUUUUAUAUAAUAUCAGCUCUUAAAUAUAUUUUUAAUUUCAUAUAUUUUAUUUUCAUUUCUUAUUAUAAUCUUAUAUAUUUUAUUUUUAUUUCUUUAAUAUAGUUUUUAUAUUAUAUAUUUUGUUUUUAUUUCUUUUACCUAUAUUAUAUAAAUUUUAAUUUCUUAUAUUUUAAUUUCUAAUUCUUAUAUUAUAUAUUUUAUUUUAAUUAUAACAUUACAAAACGUUUUUAACAAAGUAAUAAAGUUAAAGGGUAAAAUUGUCUUUAAGAACAUUGCAGAGUGCAAUGUAAUGUGAUUGCAUUGGUUUUAAAUUGCAAUCAAAUUAUAUCCUUUAACUGUAAUAUGCUUGCAUUGUAAUCUCACAUUGUAGUGGUAUAUUGCAAAACAAAUAUUGCAAUGUAAUUUAAUUAAGUACAUUGCAAGGAAUGUGCUACAACUUUUCUCAUACAAAACGCUACCUUAUAUUUGAUAUAUCGACAGUAUAUAAUUUUUAUACAUUGACACAUUACUAAUAAUUUGUUAGUGUAAGCCUUGCAAGCCAAUCGAUUUUGUACUUGUAAAACACUAUAUUAGUUAGUUAUAUUUCAUGUUAAAUACAUUAUGGAUAUUUUAAUGUAUGAGGUAUUUCUUUAUCCAUGAGUUUAUUUAUAAGGAGUUAUGAGAGACUUAUGUAGAUAAAAUCAUUGGAACAUAAUGAUCUUGUAAAGAAAUUAUAAAGGUUAUAAUUAUGAUAUUCUUAUGCAUCAAAGCCUUGUUCCUAAUUAUGUUCCUGGUCAUUGUAUUGUCAAGAAUAAGGGCAUUGACAAUGCUCAAAGGCUAGUACAUGCUAAGCCUCCUUACUUUAGAAGUAAAUAAUUGAUCUCAUAAGUUGAAGUAUGUGAGAUAGUUGGGGAUAGUAUGUGGGUGCUUGUUAAGGAACAAGUUCACUGAACAUGACCCGCUAUGAGAGUUUCAUUUGGUAUUCCACUCAAGUGUUUAUGAAAAUACUCUCAUGUGUCAAUAGUGUAAGUAAUCCUCAGACUUGUAAUACCAGGUUAUCUUGUAUGUGAAUUGUCAUGUUUUGAUUUCACCUCUAUGGGUUUGGAGAUGACCAGAUGCUUAAACAGGGUGUUUUUGGGUAUGGCACGAAGCAUGCGAAGAUGAAUGAGUAGUCUAGAGAGGAUUCAUCACCCCAAGUGAUUUGAAGGGGACAUAUCUCAUUUGCUUCCGGUUUAUAUUGAUUGAAAGUCCUUGGCCAAGGCAAUCUUAACAUGUCAAUAUAGAAGCUGCAGGACUAAUGUGGGUAAGUUAGAAAGUAGACAUCGAGCCAGACUUUCUAUCUAUUUGGGAUAUAUGAUGAAAGAAUCGAAUUAAAUUGAGAAAAUGUACACUGAAAGAUUAGUCAAAUCAUAUUGACUCUUCUGACAUUUUGGUGAUCAUGAUGUGUUGCUAGAUGCCGCUCAUGAUCUAUAAAUAUAAAUAUAAAUUCUUAAUUGAAUUAAUUUAUAUUUAUUGUUAACAUGUUAAGAACUUAAUGGGUCACACACAAAAGGUGAAUUGUCAAAAUUAAUUUGAAUUCAUUUGGAUGUGAUCUAAUUGAUUUUAUAGAGGCUUAAUCCAAUUAAGUAUUAGGUUAAAUCAAAUAUGAUUUGAUGGAAUAUUAAAUAAAAGCUCAAUUAGAUCAAGACAUUUUAUAAUCCUUAUUGGUUAUAAAGUAGGUCAAUUAACUCUAUAAAAAGAAUCCCUUAACCGCCCCUUGAAUAUAUAGAAGAGUUCUAUUUUAUUUUCUCAUGUGUUGAGAUAGGAUUAUAGCUAAAAGAGAGAAACACAAAGGAGCUCAAAGUUGAGAGUUUGCUAGCACAAAUUUCGGCUUAGGGAUUCACAUACUCUUAGUGAAGAGAUUUCGGCAAAUCACUAUGUGGAUCCCCAUUAGAGGCAGGACAACUGUGCUGCUGUGAUUUGAUAAGUCCUAGUUGGUGUACAAAAGUUAAAACGAAAAGCCAAAGAGGACUCCACCAAAGCAAGCAGACUUUCAAGUAUGUCAAAAUUUCUUUUGUGGUUUUUCUAGAUUAAUUUCAAUUAAAGUGAUCCAUGGCUUUGGGGAUUAAAAUUUUAAUAAUAGUUCGCUGCGUAUGAGUUGUCUUAGCAUGAUUUAAAUUCCCAACAUAAUUCAACUUUGUUUAUAUCUAAAAUUAACUUUAACAUUUUAAAACAAGCAAUUCUAAGAAUUUAAUAAUUAUAAGUGAAAAAUGGAAACCCAACCAAUAAAAAAUUAUAGAAAGUAGAAUCAUUGUCUUCCUUAUAAUUUUUUUCUUAAUAUUGAUGCCGUCAUUAAACCCAAUCAAAAAGAAAAUCUCACUUGGUUCUUCUAUAUAAUGGGAUAAGGUUAAAAUUUACCACUUUGUUUAGAUCAAUAGAUCAAAAUUUACCUUUAAUCUUGAAUAGGUACAAUUUCAUCACUGUAUUUUUUUGAUUUGGUUCAAAAGUAAUCAAUAAUGGUAAAAGAAUAAUUUAUGUGAAGAAAUGAAGAAAUGUUCUACAAAAAUAUUCUAGUAUAAUUUGAUCAUUUUUGAACCAAAUCAAGAACUAUGAUGAUAAAACUACAGGUAUUUAAAAAUGAAUUAUAAAUUUGAUCCAAUCAUCCAAAUAAAGUGGCAAAUUUAUUCUAAUGUAGGGCACAUAAAUUAAUAUAAAAAGUUUAAUUAGGUGAUUUAAUUGCUCUAAAUCCAUGUGUGAAAAUUUAGAAAUUUAACCAAAGAAUCUUUAGUAUUUGUUUAAUCCUAGUUGGAAAAUAAAUCCAGAAUUUUAACAACAAUUGAGCUGUCACGACCCGAAACUCCCAUCGAGCCCGUGACAACCGCCGCGAUGUCCCGAUAGGCACUUAUUACCCCGAAUGCCGAUCGAAAUUCUGUAAGGCUUAGCAUCAGCUUCUGCAUCUCCCCAGUGAGCGACAGUUAUUAAAUCUCACAUUUCAAAAAACUCAUAAGUCAUUUCCAAAUCAAAAUAAUAAAAUAUUACUUUCUGGCUCACAGGGGCAUUUUCGUCAUUUUUCUUCGAAAAUACCGAAACUCGCCAAAAACAUGGUGUAAAAGCUAAAUAUAUUCAUACAUACUUUAAAUCAAAUAAUUGAAGAAUAAAAUUACUUUUACAGUGACAUGUGGGCCCUCAACUGACUAAGAAGAUGUAGGGCUACGAACCCUUACUUUCUAGGAUGCAACUCUUAGAUUAAUUCUCAUCUUAAUCAACUAUCAACAAAUUGUCCUGAGCCUGAAAAAUGGAUAGGAAGAGGGGUGAGAUUAUGAUUACAUAAUCUCAGUGAGUAAACAAUUACCAUCAAAAGCAUCUAAAACCGAGUAGAUGGAGACAAUAUAAAAACGUUAUAUCUCAAUAAUGUUCAUAACACAAAAUUCGUUUCAAUCUAUACCAAACAAUUUCUUUUCAUCAAAAUUUCCUGGCUUAUGAAUUUCUUAAACUUGGCCCCUGCCAGAAUCAUUCUCGCGGGUACCUUCGUCAAGGUAUCCCACUGAGAUCGCCAAGGCUGUUCAAUGACCCAUACCCAUAAACAUGUUUUCACAUCUGACACACAGUCGUUCCUUGGUGUUGGCUGAGUCUCACUCUCACGUGGUGGCUCAAACAUGAGGUACACUCAAAUCAUACCUCAAGAGAUACUUCACCCAACAUCUCCCCUCGGAGGUAAGUAUAUAAUUGGGUUACCGUACCCCUCUCAUAGGCAGUCCACGGAAACCCCCACCACUACAGUGACCGUUUAAUAUACCACCAGACCCAUAAAAAUUCCAGUAGCAUAAUAUGUCGAAUAAAAUGUAAUCCAGUCUACCGAGACCAAUCUAAAACUAUUCAUAUAUUUCAUGCCAACCCCAAAAAUUUAGCCAUCAUGCUACCAUAGUGUCAUAAGCCCCAAUUUCAAUAACAUAUAAAAUCAUAAAUUUCAACACAGUCUCCAUAUACUCAAUUUUCCCAAAACAAUAUUUGAUUUCAAAAUCAGUAUAAAUUUCAUUUUUAUUAAAAAACAUUUUAAUUGAAAAACAUAAUAUUUUAUAAUUCAAACUCACCAUUCAAUAAAAACAUCAAACACAUAUAAUUACUCUAGAUAUUUAAGACGAUAAAUUAUCCACUCACAAUUCUAGGAGUCGAAAUACUCCUAACCCCAAUCUUCAAGCACAAUCUCUGUACUUUUACCAGUGUAAUUUGCUCACCACCUAUCCACAAUGUACAAUACAUAAUUCACCACAUUAAUGCUUGACCAUUAUAAAAUCAAUUCAGGCUCGAUGUAUAUGCAUGAUAUGACAUGCAACUUAUCCUACUACAACUUAAAUGCGGUGCUGACCUAAUUCGGCCUAUUAUCUCCAAUUUAACUCCAAAUCAAUUCUUCUCACUUUCUACACUCCAAUUAUACUUAAAUUACCUUAGUGACUGUGAAUGAGAUUCAAUUUAUCAGUCUCGAUAGCAAAUUACGAAAAUACCCCUAAUGGGUAAAAAUUCUUAUUUUUGCUCCGAAAAUUUCCAUUAUUUUUCUAGGCUCAUAAUUCAUCAUUAUUCAUCAUAAUUCCUCAAAUAAACAUCAAGAUCAUCAACUAAUAUUCCCUUAGAAAUUCGGCCAAUAAUGGUACACUGACUCCGUGGUUUUUCUUACUUAAUUUUCUCUCCAUAAUUCAUUAAUUCCUACACCAAAAGCUAUUAUUUCUUAAUCAAAUCACCUAGAAUAACAUCCCAUUCUUCCUCUUUAUUCACUUAGAGAAUUCGGCUAUUGAUGGGUUCUAAACCUUUGGUGGUUUUCUUCACUUGUUUUUAUGCUACACAUCAUUAAUCACCUAAAAACACUAACAUACCUAAAAAUCAAACCAAUCCAAGAUCAUUCUCUCUCCAUACCCAUUUUGACCAGCCAUGAAUUCAUCAUGAAAACAUGUAAUUUAAACAUGAAAAUUAAGGGAAAAUGCAUGGGUAAGGUAAAUCACUAGCAAAAUCAAAGAAAUUUUACUUUUGCUUGACCAAAUCCUUGAAUUCCAACACUUUCUCUUUGAUUUUUCCCACCUAGGGUUUGUUCUUCCUUGGUUUCUCUUCUCUUCUGGUUUGGCUAAUCACUAUGGGAGAAAUGGGCUGAUUUUUUACCUUUUUAUAAAGAAAUAAUAAAAUAAUAAAAACAUGACACAUGGCAUUUCCUUAUUGGUUCAAAUUUUAAAUAUUUGACUUUUAAUUCUUUAAUUCUCCACCACACAUUUCUCAUGUUUAUCCAUUUCCAUGAUGAAUAAAAUCUCUUGGUCUGGACAAAUGUCGAGGUAAAAAUUGACCGAUUUGCCCCCGGGGUGGUAAUAUUACCAUUUCACCCCUAUACUCCAAAUUAUACCGAAAUUAAAAUUUUUCACUUAUAAACCUCAAAUCAUACUCCAAUACUCAAAUCAUACUCCAAUAAGUCAAAUGGGGCAAAAAAAAAAUCUUUUCUAAAAAUUCUCAUUUUGUCCCUAAGUGGCAAAUGACCAUUUUGCCCUUAAAUAGUGAAAAUUUCGGUUUGACUCCAAAUUGAUCCUCGAACUCCGAAUUACCAUUUUGAGUCAUCCCUGAACUGUGACACUCUUAAUUUCACCUUAAAAUUCCUAUUUGAACUAGUUGAGGCUUAAUCGACUUAAUGAUACCAUUAGAGAUAAUAUCGUCUUUUAACGAUUUCUCAAACUUCCUAAAUAUGUAAUCAUUCUAUUGAGCAUGUAAAUGACGUCGUAAUUAUUUUAUAGAACAGGGUUUGACACGAGCACACGAAACAUAGUGACUUGCUUGGACCAAUGUAUGGGUACCCUGGAAAUAAAGUCAGUUGAAAAAUGGAUUUUUCUUAUAUAUGCAAGUCAAGCCAAGAGCAAUAAACUUUUCCAUUACUCGAUCCUUUCAUCAUCAACAGACAAACAUCCUAGAUUUCCAAAAGGAUUAGGUAGAAACUCACUUGACUGUUGCUCUAUUUUCCAAAAUGAAAUUCAAAUUGAUACUUACAGAUUUUGAUACUUCUACAUAUGUCAACUAACUUACCUGAAAACCAGAACUGGGUUAACCAGAAAGCUGUAUCCAUUUUCUGUCUUGUCUGAAUUUGGAUCUAGCUAGUUCUUGAAAAAUUUAGGUUAUAAAUUGAAAGAGAUAAACAUGAACAAGUAACAAAGUUUUUCUUUUUUUUUUUGUGUAUGUCCGUUAAAUGUUGUAUGUGUCAAAUUAUAACACUACUAAAAAACAAGAUAUACCACCAAUGGAAAAUUCAUUGACAAUACUUUUGAUUUUAUCUGUAUGUGAUGGAAGAAUUUUCAUAGGUAAAACCCUAUUCUUUGUUGUGUAAGAAAUGGAGCAUGUGGUAGCAUCGAACAUGGAGCAACAGUGAACUCGGAAUGAGAAAGACUCUCUAUUGCCACAGUCUAUAGGGCUAGAUAAGACAGUGAAAUAGGAACGGCACCAAGUUUGAUCUCUCCACAAAAGCUAACAUUGUUUAGGAGAGUACAAGUUGAACCUAUUUGCUAGUAAACUCCAUGGGAAAUCUUAACUCGAUGCCUGCCAUGAGAAUAUAACAUGGAUAGACUUGCCAUCCGUUGAUCAUAUAUAUGAAAGUUUAGACUAGUGGGACUGCACCAUGCUUUGAAAAAUGCAUGUAAGAAACUAGAAUGAAAAAUAAAGGAAUAGAAGUCAAAUUUACCGUUACUAUUUAAAUAAGUUUUUAUUUUGUUUAUUAUCUUCAAUCAAGUUUUUUUAUUUUUAUUUUGAAUCAAAUAAGUUUUUAUAAUUAAUGAUUAAUAAAUAAUACUUUAGUCAUCUAACACUAAAGAAAAAAUGAGAACGUAGACUUGAGCUAGGUGAUUAGGACUUUGAAUUUAGAUUUCAUAGAGUUUCGGAUAUAGAUUGGAUUUGAUCAUUUUGAGUAUCUAUAAUAAAAGUCAAAUCAGAUUUUUGGUUUCUCAAAAUUCAUUAUAAAUUUUUACUAGAAGAUAACCAAGUUUAAUUUUCUAAGUCCCACCUAGGAUUUUCUAUGUCAAGAAACAAACUGUAAGAUUAAUUUAUUAUUAAAUAAUUAUUUUUAUUUAAUUUUAAAAUAUUUAGAAUACUAAUAAUAAUAUAUUAAUUUAAAAUUAUAUUUUUAUACUUAAACAAUACAUGAUUUUUAACAUGAACAAUCCGAAUCAAGACUUUGAUUUUAAAAGUGUCAAUUGAACCUGACCCGAACUAUAAACAGGUCUAAUCUCACAGUUUUUAUACUCUUGUAAUCAUUUGCCACAUCAAAUGGUAAGUAGUUACAUACCUAUAAAUAAAUUUGGCUGAGGCAUCGAUGACUCCGAAAACUAAUCUAUUGGUUUCUAGUCUAAGCUAAGUACUAGUCCAUUAGCUAAGGAUAGAAGGUCAGUGAUGAAUUCUUCUUUCAAAAAAUGGUAGGUGGCGUCGAUGCAUGAUUUUCCCGUGGAAGGAAGACGUUAAAAUCUUCAGGCCAAAGGACAAUGACCUUCAACUGAUGCAUGACUGGUUGGGGCUAAACUUUUUUACCUAAUAAAAUGACGCCAAAUGGUUCUGGGUUUGACAAGAUGGUUGUUCGAGAACCUUCUAGUUUGAAUUAUUAGGUGUAGGCCAGGUCUCAGUUUUCAUAAUCAGAUAGGUACAUAGGAUUAGUUGCUAUCCAAGCCUUCGCUCUAAAAUAUUCAACAGCUUGAAACAAGAGAAGUGCUUAUCCUUUUGUUCUGGCAGAAAAUUGACAUGGAUCCCAAAGCUGUCAAGUAUGGAAGUUCCUUGCUUGUGCCUUCUGUUCAAGAGUUGGCCAAGAAAAUCAAUCGCCACCAUUCCACCGAGGUACUUACGUCCUUACCUGGAGAAACCAAUUGUUUCCGAUGCCGGUUCGAUGUCUGAGAUCCGGGUUAUCGACAUGGAAGGCUUGGUUUCUAAACAGUCAAUGGAUUCUGAGUUAGCCAAGCUUGACUUUGCUUGCAAAGAAUGGGGUUUUUUUCAGGUGCAACUAGCUCUAUAUAGAUACCAUCUCAAUCCUUACUCUACACUUGUUCCUGGUGAAUAUGUAUGCAUUCAUGGCAAAUACAUACAGUAAUUUAGGUAGCUUUUUGUCACCAAAGAAAACAUGAUAUACGAGUAUUUUUAGAACACCAUGCCAUCGUUGAACUUUGAUUAUUUGCAUCAUCUUUUCCCUUAUGGAGGUUCUCUUUCUUUGUCAAUUUAGUUUUCUUGCGGAGGGAGGAGAAGGUCGGUUUUCCUUUUGUAGUGUAAUUGAUCAUGAGGUAAGGUGGAGGCUGAAGAGAGGGAACAUAGAGUUUUUAUGGUUCUGGUUUAUCAUAUUCAAUUUUAAUUAUUUUUUAAAUUUUGUUUAUACUAUAUAUAUAAAUCUAAAAUUUAAUAUAAAAAUUAUUAUUUAUAAUUGGGUUUGUAUGGUUAGUGGGUAUCCUAAAAUCACUUCCCAAACUCAACUUGACCCGUCACUUUCUGAACCCUACUUGAUACAUAACUGAUAGUAACUAUAUUAUUAAAACCCAAUUAUUAAGUAUCAUUAUUUUAUUUAAUCUUAAUGUAGGGUAUUGAUUAUAAGAUAUUUAUUGACAUCUAGAUGGGGCCUUAAAAAUUUAUGUUCAAGCCUUCUCACAUGGACAUAGAUGGGUAGCUGGACUAUUUCUAUUGUCAAGCUACUACAUGAAAAAUUGUAAAAAGGGAGAGGUUGAUUUCUAAAAAGAGACAUUUUAAUCAAUGUCAACCUUCUCCCUUUUUACUAUUCCACUUAUUUGUGUGGUCUGAAUUUUAUCAAUGUUUUUUUCGUUUUUGUUUUCUUAAUUAUUUGGUUUAGGGUAAUUAAUGUUUAAAAGCAUGGUAUGAAAUCAAGUUGACACACAUAUUAGGAAAUUACUUUUAAAAUUUAUAAAAUUACAAAGUAAUGUCAUCGUGUUUAUUUUCAACUCACCAAAUUUCAUAGGAUGGUGCAUCCUAUUAUAAGUUAUAAUCAAUAGAAGGGUAAAAUACCCCUGCUUUUAAUUUUUAGAUAUAAUUUCACAUGAAUCCAUUAGUCUUAGAAAUGGACAGUCUGUCCUAAAAUUGUAAACACUGUUAAUAGAAAAUAUAAAAAAAUUAAAAUAUAUUUUUUUAUUAAUUUUAAAAAUUAUUAUUAUAUUUUUUUUUGAAAAAAUUAUAUAAUAGUAAUUUUUAAAAUUAAUAAAAUGUAAAAUUAUCUUUUCAAUAUUGUCACGUCAUCAAACUAAUGGAAACACUAACAGUUAACUAACGGCUGAAUCUAUUUAUUUAUUUUGAAAAUUAAUAAAUUCGUCUGAAAUUUAAAUUAAAACUUAGACGGUGUGGAUAAUUUACCCUAAAUAGAAUGUCGGUUCUUGUUUCGAUAUGCACUUCUUUGGUAGCUAUUUGCCAUAUGUGAAUGCAUCAAUUUAUUGUCUUUAAAGACCAUAAUGAAACUGUUCUAAAUCCUCAAGGUGUUGACAACCCAUUAAAGUUAAAUGUUGAUUCAAUAUGAAGUGUAAUUUCAUACUUUGUGGGUUAAUUAAUUCUGUUUUAGUUUAUCUUACCCAAAAGAAAAAUGUCAGAGUGUCAUUCCAAUGGACAUUGCUUACUCGAUCCACUCUAGUUGUGGCUGUUGAACCUUGGGGAUUGAAUCUGAGCAGGAAAUGAUUAAUCUGUCAACAUCUGCAGCUAAUAAAUCACGGAAUGAGUUUAUUUCUAGUGGAGAAAGUGAAGACAGAGAUUCAAGACUUCUUCAACCUCCCAAUGGAAGAGAAGAAAAAGUACUGGCAGUAUCCAGGAGAAGUAGAAGGAUUUGGGCAAGCCUUUGUUGUAUCAGAUGAGCAAAAGCUUGAUUGGGGUGACAUGUUCUUCUUGACCACCCUCCCUGUCUAUUCCAGG
rnacentral:lncRNA from 1 species